UACGUGGAAACGACUCUCGGCAAUGGAUAUCUCAGCUCUUGUUACGAUGAAGAACGUAGCGAAAUGCGAUACUUAGUGUGAAUUGCAGAAUCCCAUGAAUCAUCGAGUUUUUGAAUGCAAUUUGCGCCCGAGGCCUCAGUCGAGGGCACGUCUGUCUGGGCGUCGCAUCCCAUUCAAACGCACUCCCUGCAAUAUGCUAGCGAGCAGCGGAGCUGGUCGUCCGUGCCCAACACGGUGCCGUUGGCUGAAAUACCUCAAGAGAUGUUUCGUAGCGUGCGUCGGAGAGCGGUGAUCUUGUCCCCUUGGAUGGGCAGUCGGCGUUAGCUGAUGCGGACUUUGUGUGUCAUCGCUCGAACUUGCUUUGCUCUCUCUUGCCCUCCCAUCGGGUAGGGCGGAUAUAGCUCCAACUUUGCGACCUCAGCUCAGGCGAGAACACCCGCUGAGUUUAAGCAUAUAAUUAAGCAGAGGAAAAGAAACUUACAAGUAUUCCCCUAGUAGCGGUGAGCGAACCGAGAAGAGCCCAGCAUGAAAAUCGGGCGGCAGCGUCGCUUGAAUUGUAGUCUGUAGAAGCGUCCUCAGCGGCGUACCUGGGCCAAGUCCCUUGGAAGGGGGGCCCUGAGAGGGUGACAGCCCCGUCGGCUCGGGACCCUGCCACAUCACGAGGCGUUGUCAGCGAGUCGGGUUGUUUGGGAAUGUAGCCCUAAUUGGGUGGUAAAUUCCGUCCAAGGCUAAAUACGAGCGAGAGACUGAUAACGAACAAGUACCGUGAGGGAAAGAUGAAAAGGACUUUGAAAAGAGAGUUAAAGAGUGCUUGAAAUUGCCGGGAGGGAAGCGGAUAGAGGCUGUCGAUGCGUCUUGGUUGGAUGUGGAACGGCUUAGGAUGGUCCACCGCUCGACUUGAGGUGCAAACCAACACAAGCUGCUGCAUUGUCACAAGCGCGGGUGGAUUUCCGCCUAUCGGUUUGCCGCUGUGGUGGUCGAGGAACGAAGCGUGCACCCUUGUGGCGGGCCGUGUGCACCUGUGCGCUUGUGGUGUUGGUUGGUGGGCUUUCCAUUCGACCCGUCUUGAAACACGGACAAAGGAGUCUAACAUGUGUGAGAGUCGGUGGGUUUGAAAACCCGCGAGGCGCAAGGAAGCUGACGGGCGAGAUCCCCUCCCUUGGGGGGCUGCAUCGUCGACCGACCUUGAGCUUAUGCGAAGGGUUCGAGUGCGAGCACACCUGUUGGGAUGAACCGAAAGUCGAGUUACGAUGCCAAAUUGCACGCUAACCUAGAUCCCACAAAGGGUGUUGGUUGAUUAAGAUAGCAGGACGGUGGUCAUGGAAGUCGAAAUCUGCUAAGGAGUGUGUAACAACUCACCUGCCAAAUCAACUAGCCCCGAAAAUGGAUGGCGCUGAAGCGCGCAACCUAUACUCGACCGUCGGAGCAAUUUCCUGGCUCUGAUGAGUAGGAGGACGCGGGGGUCGUUGAGAAACCGCGGGUGUGAGCUUGGGUGGAUUGGCCCCCGGUGCAAUCUUUGGUGGUAGUAGCAAAUAUUCAAAUGAGAACUUUGAAGACUGAAGUGGGGAAAGGUUCCAUGUGAACAACACUUGGACAUGGGUUAGCUGAUCCUAAGAGAUGGGGAAGCCUUGUAUCAAGGGUGCACUCUGCACGAGCAUCGAAAGGGAAUCGGGUUAAUAUUCCCGAACCGGGACAUGGCGGUGGGCAGGAACGUUAGGAAAUCCGGAGACAUCGUCGAGGGCCCCAGGAAGUGUUAUGUUUUCUUUUUAACAGCUUUCCCACCCUGGAAUUGGUUCACCCAUAGAUAGGGUCCAGCAGCUGGAAGAGCACUGCACGUCUUGCGGUGUCCGGUGCGCCCUUGGCGGCCCUUUAAAAUCUGGAGGACCGAGUACCGUUCAUGCCCGGUCGUACUCAUAACCGCAUCAGGUCUCCACGGUGAACAACUUCUGGUCAAUAGAACAAUGUAGGUAAGGAAGUCGGAAAAAAGGAUCCGUAACUUCGGGAAAAGGAUUGGCUCUGAGGGCUGGGCCUAGGGGUCUGUGCCCUCAACUCGUGGGCUAUCAGCAGUCUACUCGAGCUUCUCUCACGGUGAGGGCGGGCAGUCGCGUGUCGAUUGGGCUACGGGCGUAGAAUGCCCCCUACCGGGGGCUUUUCCCUAGGCGUCGAACAGUCGACUCAGAACUGGUACAGACAAGGGGAAUCUGAUUGUUUAAUUAAAACAAAGCAUUGCGAUGGUCCCUGCGGAUGCUGACGCAAUGUGAUUUCUACCCAGUGCUCUGAAUGUCAAAGUGAAGAAAUUAAACCAAGUGUUGGUAAACGGCGGGAGUAACUAUGACUCUCUUAAGGUAUCCAAAUGCCUUGUCAUCUAAUUAGUGACGUGCAUGAAUGGGUUAACGAGAUUCCCACUGUCCCUAUCUACUAUCUAGCGAAACCAUAGCCAAGGGAACGGGCUUGGCAGAAUCAACAGGGAAAGAAGACCCUGUUGAGCUUGACCAUAGUCCGACUUUGUGAAAUGAGUUGAGAGGUGUAGAAUAAGUGGGAGCCGUUUUCGGCGCAAGUGAAAUACCACUACUUUUAAUGUUAUUUUACUUAUUCCGUGGGGCGGAGAAUGGGAACUGCCCCUGUUUUUGGCCUUAACGCACGUUUCGGCGGGUCGAUCCGGGCGGAAGACAUUGUCAGGUGGGGAGUUUGGCUGGGGCAGCACAUCUGUUAAAAGAUAACGCAGGUGUCCUAAGAUGAGCUCAACGAGAACAGAAAUCUCGUGUGGAACAAAAGGGUAAAAGCUCAUUUGAUUUUGUUUUUCAGUACGAAUACAAACCGUGAAAGCGUGGCCUAUCGAUCCUUUAGAUUUUCAGAAUUUGAAGCUAGAGGUGUCAGAAAAGUUACCACAGGGAUAACUGGCUUGUGGCAGCCAAGCGUUCAUAGCGACGUUGCUUUUUGAUCCUUCGAUGUCGGCUCUUCCUACCAUUGUGAAGUAGAAUUCACCAAGUGUUGGAUUGUUCACCCACCAAUAGGGAACGUGAGCUAGGUUUAGACUGUCGUGAGACAGGUUAGCUUUACCCUACUGAUGAACCGCACCGCAAUAGUAAUUCAACUUAGUAUGAGAGGAACCGUUGAUUCACACAAUUGGUCAUCGUGCUUGGUUGAAAAGCUAGUGGCGCGAAGCUACUGUUUGUCGGAUUAUGACUAAACGCCUCUAAGUCAGAAUCCAUGCUAGAAGCGGUGCAUGUCACUCUUCGACUGUAUCUCGACCCGUAGUAGGGGCAUCGCUUUGUCGCCCCCAGGGGCCCGUGUCAUUUGCAAAUGGCGACCAUGAAGCAUCUCGGUUGGGGCAU
rnacentral:rRNA from 1 species